CCCUCAAGAUGAGAUAUCCCUACCAUAAGGUAAUAAGACCCCUUAGAGAGUAUGAGGUAGAUAGGAAUGGUGUGUAAGAGCGGUAACGCUCUCAGCUGACAUUUACUAAUAGGUCGAAGGCUUAUCCUG
rnacentral:rRNA from 1 species